CAUGGAAGGCGGAUCAAACCUAAAGAAGACAGUGAAAAAUCUGACUUAUGAAGAACUGCAUAAACAAAAACGUCAAUUGACAUCAACUUUAUUGAAAAUUUAUCCAGAUCUCGUAAAUUUUGAACCCGACAUUCAAUCAAUUGUCGAAACCUUCACGUUGUCGCUUGACAAUCGACUGAAUUUGGAAACUAUAAUUCGAAAACUGAACGAUCAUUUAUCAAAGUCAACGUUCCCUUCAGACGGGCUGAUAAAAUUUAAAAAACUCAUUUUUUCGAAAAAUAAUUUGAAUAAUUUGGACGCAUUACCCAUUGGAAUUAUACUGUCUAUUGACAUGCACAGUCAUGCUGCUCAAGCGGCAUUGAAUGUUAAGCACACGAAAAUUUUAUACUCAAGAGAAAAUUUAAAAUCGAGCGAAAAUUCUGAAGUCAUUACAAACCAAGAACUCAAACAUCCGAUUCUUCCAGAUAUUGAUGUAACUGUACUGCAUCAAGGUGUAAAGUACUGUUGGUUUCGCAUAAAACUUUUCAGUCAUCAAGAUUUUUCUCAACUCGAGUUACCAUUUACGCCGGUGCAUUACUACUUUUAUACAAGUCUUAUUGUGGAAAUUUAUUACCAUCGAGAAUGUCGUAAUUACAAAGACAUCUAUUGGCUCACGAUGGACUAUUUGAAUUCGUCACCGCUAAUUGACAAAAUAUAUUUUUUUUCUGACUGCCGAUUGGUCGAGCGGAUUGACAAUAAAGUCAUACAGUUUUCAAAUACUUUGAAAUUUUUGUAUUGCUACCGCCUAAAUACGGCAAGUUUUUCAGUGACGUCAAUUGACGAUUUAGAAAAUUUGUUUAAGCUAUUAAUCCGCACUACUGUUUUUUUGUACCGGCGUAAUUUCAAUAUGGUCAAUGAAGAUUUGGACACACCAUUCACGGCUCUUACGGGGGAACGGGCUCAUAUUAAUGUUCGUCGAUUUUUAAGCGAAGAGAAUAUAUAUUCAGUAAAUAAUGCACGCGAUGGGUUGAUAUUGGGUACUGGUACGCAAAUCGGAGGAAUCAAUCCACAUGAAGUUAUAAUAAAGUGCAGUGACUUUGUUAAACCGUGACAAGAUCCUUGAGACACUUCGGAAUAUGAUCUGCAAUUGAACAAUCAAUAAAGCUCAUCUAUCUUACCACAUGAUCCGGUGUUAUUUGAACGAAGUUUUAUUUUCGCUGUCAAGUUAUUCAAUGUUUAUGGAUCAUAAAUAAUUCCGUGUUCCCAUUUAAAAAAAAGAGUCAAUGAUCUAAUUUUAACUGUACCUAUAUUCUAAAACGACAUCUAGUUUUCGUAAGUUAUUUCUAAUCACAUAUAAUAUAAAAUUAUUCUUGAAUGAA